GAUGUCCUUCCUAAGGCAAUUUGUAUCUGAGGUCAAUGGGUUAACUUUGAAGUCGGGCAAAGUGGAAGGAGGGCAAUGAAAUAGCAGUGCCACCUCUUAGGUCUCUGAGGUAUAUAUUUGGAAAGAAAAGUCAAUCAAAAACACAGGAGGAGCUUUAGCUGGCAGCUGAGACAAUGGCAGAGACACUUAGUGCGGAACGCAAAAGGAAACUGAUUCAUGGAAAGAAACUCAUCUUAACACAUGAGAGUUACUCUUGUGGGAACAAAAGCCUCACCCUCCAGGAAUAUGAAUGCAUGCAAUGAAGAUGGUUCUCUUUGGCUGAAGAAAAGGCCUGCCCAUGUUCCAAGCAACCCCAUGAUAGUUUCUACUGCAUCAGCCCCAGAUAAGGAAUACUUGCUUCCUAUGGGAGAUCAUGUUCUAGCAUCAACUGCAUCCCUGGCUGAGCAAUCUUGGUAGAGAAGGUUGGCAUGCACUGCUGCAAUUUUAUUCUUGGAUGCUGAAAGAUUAAAUCAGAAAAGCCUCCUCCAGUGGAUCUUCAAUUCCAAAAUAUUUCAAUUCACUGUUUUAAGAGGAUUUACACAUUUAACUGAUUCAAAUGCAUUAAAACACUGUGUAAGACUGAGUGGCAAUGUUGUAACAAAGUUGGACUUCCUUUUUCUGAACCAUGUUAAACUGAAAGCUUCCUACUCCCACUCAGAUCAGGAGUCAUUUUGCCAUUGGCUGUCACGAGGAGAAAAAGUGGGUCUUAAAUAGGUAACAGAUUGGAAGGACAUGGGUAAUUAGUGAUGCGAGCUAAGUAUUUAAACACAAAGCGAAAUGCGAAACACUAGGACCGUUUUUACUUUGUCAUGCUGUGCAAAGCAAACCACCUCACAUUUAGGAUGCUUAAUUCAAUUUGUGUUACACUACUGAUGAUUAUGAAAUGCAUUUUGAAGAUGUUUGUUUUAUCUUCUCCUGUAAGUGCAGACAACAUACAGAGACUUAUUUCCUAGAUGAAAGUACAAAUAUAAGUAGAGAGGCACUUCGUGAAUACUAUACGAAAAAAAAACGUAUCUAAUGAAAAUUAAAAUUCAGGAUGUAUUUAAGCAGAUUUAAGAAUUUAGGUGUUUCUAGUAUGAUGUAACAAAAGGGAGGCAUCAUUCUUCUUAGUUGGAACAGGUAGAAUAAAAAAUGAAAACGCCAUUUUCUCUUUAUUUGAAAUGUCACAGAUUUUACACUCAUGCACUUACACUUCACACAUACAUCUGCCUAUUAGUAGAGGACUAAAUAGGGAUUUCCCUCAUCAUUAUUUCAAAUAAGAGAACGAAGAGACUGAAUUUCACUAAAAUUCCCGAGAGGGUAGUGUUUUAUUAAAAAUAAAAGCCAAAAUGGAAAAACUUUGCUGAAUAUUCAAGUAAGUACAAAUACAUAAAGCACUAUUUAUAGCAUUCUUGUGAUCAUUCCCAGCUCUUUCUCACAAUGACCUUCAAAUAUACCUCUUUGCCAAAGAAAAGGAUCAGUGUAAAUUUAUUACUCAGCAAUACUAAAUGGGUCUUUUUUUCUAUCAUGCAUGAAAUUCCACUUCUCUACUACUACAAAAUGACACUGUGCCCUUCCAGAAGGGCUCUAAAGCACAGCGAUGCAAAGUGCCCUUCUGGGUUUUGCUGACCUAGAGGAUUUAUCUUUCUAGUAAAAGUGCCCAACUGAAAUACUCUGGAACAUCCAUACGCACAACAAACAAGCUUAAAAGGUGUUUCCUUUGGGGGAUUUAGUAGGUACUAAAUUUUAUGCUCCCAUCUACAUCCAGUUGACGUAGGAUCGACAUUUAUUUACCAACAUAGUUUCAGAUUUUCAUCUUACAGCAUCUCUCUGGAUAUGCCAAAUUAAUUAACCCUCCCCCCAACAAACCAAAUAAACCCCACCAGUAAAUAUUUAAUUUUAUUUAAGCCAGUGGAUCUAAACUUAGUAUUCAUUUUACUUUCUUAUCUACUAUAAAGAUAUUGGAAAUAGCUUAAGAGAUAUAAUAAAGGUAUAGUUAAACAGAUGACCUACAUUGUAAUUGCCCAAGAGACAAACUGGUAAAGUAACCAGAAGUCAACAAAGCAAUUCAAAACAAACUUGUUCAGAUACACAUUACAUAUAUUUUAUAUUUACCUUC